AUUGAACGCUAGCGGGAUGCCUUACACAUGCAAGUCGAACGGAGUGGGGAACGGGUGAGUAAUGUAACGGAACGGGACCGGUAGCGGGGGCUAACUACGCGAAAGCGAAGGAAAUACCGCAUACUAUCGGAACGGGCGGUACCGGAUUAGCUGGUUGGUGGGGGAACGGCUCACGAAGGCGACGACCCGGAGCUGGUUUGAGAGGCCGACCAGCCACACUGGGACUGAGAAACGGCCCAGACUCCUACGGGAGGCAGCAGUGGGGAAUUUUGGACAAUGGGGGAAACCCUGAUCCAGCCAGCCCGCGUGUGUGAUGAAGGCCUUCGGGUUGUAAAGCACUUUUGGCAGUGAAGCGGUACCUGCAGAAUAAGCACCGGCUAACUACGUGCCAGCAGCCGCGGUAAUUC
rnacentral:rRNA from 1 species